rnacentral:misc_RNA from 1 species
AACGUGAUUCCAGACCGGGUCGCCCAACGGGCCCUAACCCACAGUGACCUCGACCCAUAUGGCUGUCGCAUCAGCCGGUACUCCGUCGCCUCCCACGGGUAUGCACAGAUUGGCUGGAACGACCUGAACGGACGUCGGUGCGGCACCACAGCCCACCGGGCGGCGUGGGUAGCCGUCAAUGGCCAGAUUCCCGAGGGAAUGACGGUCGACCACACAUGCAAGCAGCGCCGGUGCGUCAACCCUGCGCACCUUCGAC